rnacentral:rRNA from 1 species
GACGAACGCUGGCGGCGUGCUUAACACAUGCAAGUCGAGCGGUAAGGCCCUUUCGGGGUACGACGAGCGGCGAACGGGUGAGUAACACGUGGGUGACCUGCCCUCAGCUCUGGGAGUAAGCCUGGGAAACCGGGUCUAAUACUGGAUAUGACUCCAUGACGCAUGUUGUGGGGUGGAAAGCCUUGUGCGGCUGAGAAUGGGCCCGCGGCCUAUCAGCUUGUUGGUGGGGUGAUGGCCUACCAAGGCGACGACGGGUAGCCGGCCUGAGA